rnacentral:rRNA from 1 species
AUUGAACGCUGGCGGCAUGCCUUACACAUGCAAGUCGAACGGCAGCACGGGGCAACCUGGUGGCGAGUGGCGAACGGGUGAGUAAUGCAUCGGAACGUACCUUUCGGUGGGGGAUAACGUAGCGAAAGUUACGCUAAUACCGCAUAUUCGGUGAGCAGGAAAGCAGGGGAUCGCAAGACCUUGCGCUGAUGGAGCGGCCGAUGUCAGAUUAGCUAGUUGUUGAGGUAAAGGCUCACCAAGGCGACGAUCUGUAGCGGGUCUGAGAGGAUGAUCCGCCACACUGGAACUGAGACACGGUCCAGACUCCUACGGGAGGCAGCAGUGGGGAAUUUUGGACAAUGGGGGCAACCCUGAUCCAGCCAUGCCGCGUGAGUGAAGAAGGCCUUCGGGUUGUAAAGCUCUUUCGGCCGGGAAGAAAUCGCACGGGCUAAUACCCUGUGUGGAUGACGGUACCGGAAUAAGAAGCACCGGCUAACUACGUGCCAGCCGCCGCCGUAAAAC